rnacentral:rRNA from 1 species
GACGAACGCUGGCGGCGUGCUUAACACAUGCAAGUCGAGCGGUAAGGCCCCUUCGGGGGUACACGAGCGGCGAACGGGUGAGUAACACGUGAGCAAUCUGCCCUUCACUUUGGGAUAACUCUGGGAAACGAGAGCUAAUACCGAAUACGACCACUUCAGGCAUCUGAUGGUGGUGGAAAGUUCCGGCGGUGAAGGAUGAGCUCGCGGCCUAUCAGCUAGUUGGUGGAGUAACGGCCCACCAAGGCUUCGACGGGUAGCCGGCCUGAGAGGGUGACCGGCCACACUGGGACUGAGACACGGCCCAGACUCCUACGGGAGGCAGCAGUGGGGAAUAUUGGACAAUGGGCGAAAGCCUGAUCCAGCAACGCCGCGUGAGGGAUGACGGCCUUCGGGUUGUAAACCUCUUUCAGUAGGGACGAAGCGCAAGUGACGGUACCUACAGAAGAAGCACCGGCCAACUACGUG